UAAACCUCCAAUGACCAUGUACAAUGUACAUGAACCUAUAAAUCUCUGAAUUUAUCAAGUUAUAUGCACUCAAAUAGCUAGAAUGGCUUAUUCAAUGAUCAUAAUAAGCAUUUUUGACCAAAUUUGGGAAAUAGAAAUAAGAAAUAUUUUGGAAAUGAUGUUCAAAGCCGUGAUUGUUCAACUUUACUUUUAAAUUAUUUUUACUUGAAUUUUAAAAUUCUGAAAUAAGAAGAAUAAAUAUAGUAUGUAGUUUAUUUACAUGGUGAAAGAAGUGAAUCAUUGGAACAAUUCUGUUUCAUAUCAUAUUCCAUAGUUUUGGGUUUUUUUGUUUUCUUUCUUAUUUUUUUUUUUUAGUAUUAAAACGACCGAGUAUCGAAAGCAAUGGUAACGAAAUAAGUUGACACCGCGUCUCGUCAAAACAUGUUCAAUUCGAAUUUACUCGGAAUUACACGUUCAACGAGCAUUUGCUGUGAAACCUGAUUAAAGGAAAAUUACUGUAGACACCUAAUAGUGAUUUGUACAGAAGCGAGCCCCGGCAGGAAUGAUGGCCUCUUUUGAAAUGAAGAUUUCAUGCCUUACUCCUACUGGGACUACAACUAACUUUGGACCUGGUCACUCGCAGAUACAGCAUGAAGUGUGCCCUCUUGAUGUACAUGGGGAUGGGAGUGAUACAGAAGGGGGACUAAUUGGAAGAACUGCUGCUGCUGGUGGUGGUGCUGGACUGUCUUGAAUCUGUUGCCUAACCGACUUGAUAUUCUUCUGUUUAAUAUGGGAGCAACACACACACUCUGGCAUAUAUUGCACAGAAAAUCAUGAUCAGAUGGUGCCCUCCCUAUCAGAGUGGUGAUCACUGACCUAUAUUUCUUUGAAAUCCUGGAUCUGUGUUUUGGUUUUACUCUCCAUGGACAGUUGAAACAGAGAAAGAAUUAGGGACCACUCCUUGGCAUAUCUGAAAUAUUUAUGUCAUAUACAUGUAAUUAAAAUAUACAAUUUGGGUUCGAUGAAAAUCUUAUCUUCAUGUUAAAACCCAUUAGCCUAGGUUAUUUUUCCUAAAAUCUAAUUAUAAAUCAAUUAACUUGUUAAUUAAUGCUUGGUGAAUCAAUUAAUAAAUUGUAUUCAAGAACUUGGAAUUAUUUUUUUCCCCACUAAUAAACUGAAAAUGUGUAUCUUCAAA